rnacentral:lncRNA from 1 species
GCAAGAUGGAGUUUAAAGUUCUGUUUGCCAGGGUCUCUCAGUGGUGACAUGAAAAAGGUCCUCCCAGCCAUAUCCGGCCAUAUCCAGCUCCCUACAGAGCUUCGUUCACAUAAGCAAGCAAGAAAUAAAGAAGUGGAAGGGAGCUGCAGAAAACCGCACCCAAAAGAUGGCGCUGGUUUCCGCCCUCCGCCAGCCCGACGGCGAGCGCUCUCUGUGGUAAACAACUCCAAAUAUGGUAAAGGUCAUGUAUCCUCUUAAUUCUGCUUGGAGACAACCUAUCCUGGCGCGCCACGUAGGGUUAGGUGAUUGGUAGAUGUAGA